rnacentral:rRNA from 1 species
GAUCCUGGCUCAGGAUGAACGCUAGCUACAGGCUUAACACAUGCAAGUCGAGGGGAAACGAUAUUGGAAGCUUGCUUCCGAUAGGCGUCGACCGGCGCACGGGUGAGUAACGCGUAUCCAACCUGCCCGUCACUUGGGAAUAACCUUGCGAAAGUAAGACUAAUACCCAAUGAUAUCUCUAUAAGACAUCUGAAAGGGGAUUAAAGAUUCAUCGGUGAUGGAUGGGGAUGCGUCUGAUUAGCUUGUUGGCGGGGUAACGGCCCACCAAGGCAACGAUCAGUAGGGGUUCUGAGAGGAAGGUCCCCCACAUUGGAACUGAGACACGGUCCAAACUCCUACGGGAGGCAGCAGUGAGGAAUAUUGGUCAAUGGGCGAGAGCCUGAACCAGCCAAGUAGCGUGCAGGACGACGGCCCUAUGGGUUGUAAACUGCUUUUAUAAGGGAAUAAAGUGAGUCUCGUGAGACUUUUUGCAUGUACCUUAUGAAUAAGGACCGGCUAAUUCCGUG